rnacentral:lncRNA from 1 species
ACACAACAACGCAAGCAUCCAAUAGAAAAGGGAGAAACAGAGAUGCGUGUGUUCGCAAAUUGCAUAGUGAAAACUGGUGAGAAAAGGUUAAACCUUUGGAAGCUUUUCUCAAUUUUUUUUUAAUUUGUCUUUCACUUUACACGUUUCUUUGAUGUUACUUGUUUAUUACAACGAAACACUUUACACAUUCAAUAAGAUUUUAGUGAAAUAGAUUUAUCUUCACAGGUGAUGUAUAGUGUUCUAUUCUUAUAUUUUGAGUGUUUUUUAUUAAGGUUGAGAUGGGUUUCUCUGUAUUUGUUUAGUAACUUUUUUUUGGUCAUUUCAGAUUUCAGGUAGUGUUUGUGAAACGACACGGUUUGGAUGAGUUUUGGACACUCUUAAGCAUUUCGAGUCAAGGGAAGAAAAGAUUUGGAUCGAAUCUUCCUUCCACUAGAAUGACUGACAGUCUAGUGCUGGAAUAAUCAACCGAACUGAACCGAGAUUUUGGUUUUUGUUUGGUUUGGUUUCUGUUAUGGGUUAUUAACCGAUCGGUAAUCUAUGAAAAUUAGUUUGGUUAAUCGAGAACUUCG